AGCAGUAGCCGCGGGAAUACGGAGGGUGCAAGCGUUAAUCGGAAUUACUGGGCGUAAAGCGCACGCAGGCGGUCUGUCAAGUCAGAUGUGAAAUCCCCGGGCUUAACCUGGGAACUGCAUUUGAAACUGGCAGGCUAGAGUCUUGUAGAGGGGGGUAGAAUUCCAGGUGUAGCGGUGAAAUGCGUAGAGAUCUGGAGGAAUACCGGUGGCGAAGGCGGCCCCCUGGACAAAGACUGACGCUCAGGUGCGAAAGCGUGGGGAGCAAACAGGAUUAGAUACCCGGGUAGUCCCUGUCUCUUAUAC
rnacentral:rRNA from 1 species